rnacentral:ncRNA from 16 species
AGGGAAAGUCCGGUGAGAUCCCGGCGCUGACCCGCAACGGUGACCGCUACGGCGGCGAGCCCGAAUGCCU